rnacentral:rRNA from 1 species
UAAUGUAUCGGAACGUGCCCAGUCUGGGGGAUAACUGCUCGAAAGAGCAGCUAAUACCGCAUACGACCUGAGGGUGAAAGCGGGGGAUCGCAAGACCUCGCGCGAUUGGAGCGGCCGAUAUCAGAUUAGGUAGUUGGUGAGGUAAAGGCUCACCAAGCCGACGAUCUGUAGCUGGUCUGAGAGGACGACCAGCCACACUGGGACUGAGACACGGCCCAG